GGAAAAGCAGGCCUCUCCCUUUCACGCACAAAAACCAGAAAAUUCUGUCAGAAACUCUCUUGGUCUCUCUUGGUUUCUCUUUUCUUCCUCUCUCUGUGGGUCUUGGAAAUCAGCAGCUCUUUUGAUUGUGGUGGUAACCGCAAUCUCAUGAGAGUUUUUGCAGGAUGGAUUGAUCGACGGAACUACUAGGAAUAUUAUGAUAAUAUUAUUACAGUGUGAUUGAAUUAAGACUUUUAAGUUGAUAUGUAAUAUUUAUGAAAACAGUGUUUAAGUA